UACGAAGGGGGGCUAGCGUUGUUCGGAAUUACUGGGCGUAAAGCGCGCGCAGGCGGUUCUCCAAGUCAGUGGUGAAAGCCCCGGAGCUCAACUCCGGAACUGCCAUUGAAACUAUUGAACUUGAGGACGAGAGAGGUGAGUGGAAUUCCCAGUGUAGAGGUGAAAUUCGUAGAUAUUGGGAAGAACACCGGUGGCGAAGGCGGCGACCUGGUCCGACACUGACGCUGAGGCGCGAAAGCGUGGGGAGCAAACAGG
rnacentral:rRNA from 1 species